UACAGAGGGUGCAAGCGUUGCUCGGAAUUACUGGGCGUAAAGCGUGUGUAGGCGGCUUUGUAAGUGGAGUGUGAAAUCCCUAGGCUCAACCUAGGAACUGCGCCCCAAACUGCAAAGCUUGAGUGUCGGAGAGGGUGGUGGAAUUCCCAGUGUAGAGGUGAAAUUCGUAGAUAUUGGGAGGAACACCAGUGGCGAAGGCGGCCACCUGGACGAACACUGACGCUGAGACACGAAAGCGUGGGGAGCAAACAGG
rnacentral:rRNA from 1 species